AUUGAACGCUGGCGGCAGGCCUAACACAUGCAAGUCGAACGAGUGGCGGACGGGUGAGUAAUGUCUGGGAAACUGCCUGAUGGAGGGGGAUAACUACUGGAAACGGUAGCUAAUACCGCAUACCAUCGGAUGUGCCCAGAUGGGAUUAGCUAGUAGGUGGGGUAAAGGCUCAACUAGGCGACGAUCCCUAGCUGGGCUGCGAGGAUGACCAGCUACACUGGAACUGAGACACGGUCCAGACGCCUACGGGAGGCAGCAGUGGGGAAUAUUGCACAAUGGGCGCAAUCCUGAUGCAGCCAUGCCGCGUGUAUGAAGAAGGCCUUCGGGUUGUAAAGUACUUUCAGUGGGGAGGCGUUACCCGCAGAAGAAGCACCGGCUAACUCCGUGCCAGCAGCCGCGGUAAUUC
rnacentral:rRNA from 1 species